AGCGAACGCUGGCGGCAGGCCUAACACAUGCAAGUCGAACGGAUCCUUCGGGAUUAGUGGCGGACGGGUGAGUAACACGUGGGAACGUGCCCUUUGGUUCGGAACAACUCAGGGAAACUUGAGCUAAUACCGGAUGUGCCCUUCGGGGGAAAGAUUUAUCGCCAUUGGAGCGGCCCGCGUCUGAUUAGCUAGUUGGUGAGGUAAAGGCUCACCAAGGCGACGAUCAGUAGCUGGUCUGAGAGGAUGAUCAGCCACAUUGGGACUGAGACACGGCCCAAACUCCUAAGGGAGGCAGCAGUGGGGAAUCUUGCGCAAUGGGCGAAAGCCUGACGCAGCCAUGCCGCGUGAAUGAUGAAGGUCUUAGGAUUGUAAAAUUCUUUCACCGGGGACGAUAAUGACGGUACCCGGAGAAGAAGCCCCGGCUAACUGCGUGCCAGCCGCCGCCGUAACAC
rnacentral:rRNA from 1 species